UUAAAAAAAUGUAAAAGAACGAAAUGCCAGGUUGCUGUGUAAAAGGCUGCUAUAAUUGCAGCGAAAGAGGGUUUAGAUUAUUUCGUAUGCCAACCGGAAUGAAAAAUAUUGAAAGAAGACAAGAAUGGCUUCGAUUAAUUGGAAGAAACACAUAACCACAAAGAGCUCUAAUUUGUGAGGUGCAUUUUGACGAAAAUCAAUUCAAGAACAAUCGAGCAGAUGGAAGGAAAUUGCUCCGUUCAUUUGCAAUACCCAACUUAUUACACGCAAUAGAAAAUAACUCUAAUAAGGACUCUGAAGUAGAAAAUAAUUCCAAAAAAGUAAAAUAUAGUACCGAUAAUGAUGAAUAUGAGAACAAUGCAAAUAAUUUGAAUAAAAAUUCCUGCAGUAAUAUCAAUAACGGUGACGUUAUUGUAAACCUAGAAAUUGUUUCUGCAAAUUAUAGUACUAAUGAAUCAGGAUAUGAAACAACCGAUGUGACAAUGAGAGAUACUACAUCAAAUGAAAAACUCAAUGAAAAAAUAAAAAGUUAUGAAGAACAUAUUAAAAAAUUAAAGAAAUCUUUGAAUAAGACUGUGGUGGAACGUAAUAUCUUAAAAAGAAAAUUACAAAAAAGAAAUGCAAGAUUUAACCAGAUAUUUAACGAAGAUCAAAGGGAUUUUAUCACACGUAACACACAAAGAGGAGCAUUAUGGUCUGCAGAAACAAUUACAAAAGCAUUAAGACUUUAUGCAGCAUGUGGACAAAAAGGCUAUGAAGAGGUGCGCCGACAGAACUUACCGUAUCCAAGUAUUCGCACUCUGCAAAAUCGAAUACAAGGCUUAAAAUUUAAUCCAGAUACAAUCAUUCGUACCUGAAGAAAAAC